UCUAAUACCGGAUAUGACCGUCUUGGGCAUCCUUGAUGGUGUAAAGCUCCGGCGGUGCAGGAUGAGCCCGCGGCCUAUCAGCUUGUUGGUGAGGUAAUGGCUCACCAAGGCGACGACGGGUAGCCGGCCUGAGAGGGCGACCGGCCACACUGGGACUGAGACACGGCCCAGACUCCUACGGGAGGCAGCAGUGGGGAAUAUUGCACAAUGGGCGAAAGCCUGAUGCAGCGACGCCGCGUGAGGGAUGACGGCCUUCGGGUUGUAAACCUCUUUCAGCAGGGAAGAAGCGAGAGUGACGGUACCUGCAGAAGAAGCGCCGGCUAACUACGUG
rnacentral:rRNA from 1 species